GUGUUGACAAACCCUAGCCGCCAUGAGGCAAAUUCUCUCUCUUUGUCAUCUACAACGCCAGAAAUGGCAAAUACACAGUGUACGUUUGCUUUAUUUCAAUCAUUGCUCAACCAUUUUUGGUAAAGCAAUUAAUGCUUUGCCCUCCCUUCGUCGAGACACCAUCAAACAAGUUGAGUCCCAAAGGACUCCAAAUUGAAUUUUGAAGUCGGCUGCACCCAAAAAAGUCGAGAUGAAAGGGAAGCUAAUAUAUAUAUAUAUGCGUGGAUGAUAGAAGGCCCAACUAUGGGUGAAAAUGGUUAUCUAGGGGCUUGGCACGCCCCUAGCCUAACUUUCCUCUUUAAAUACUAUGUUUUAUUUUAUGUAAUGAUGUAUUUUUUGAAGUUGUAUUUAUUUGUAAAAACACAUUGUAUCUAUUGAAACCUUUAUGGUAUGUACUAGACGUCUUAGGACAACGACGCCUAUGUCGUUUAGUUUUUGACUUUAGGUACCCUCAAACGAUUUUCAAAAACUUGGGAUAGAACCCUUCUUUUUUUAGAAAUUAACGAGUA